UCGGAGGCAGAUUUCGAUUGUUCACAAUAUUGGAGAAAAUGACCGAUCUGACCAUCAUGAAGUUUCUACCAACGGAUUAAAACACCAAGGAGAUUGAGAAACAAGCCAAGAACAAAUUUUAACGGCGAUGGCAGUUGUCCCAGUUCGAUUCUGAGAAGUUGAAAUGAUCUGAUAGUGAGACCUAGAAGGCUAGAUAGAUAUUUGAUGUGUUGCAUAUUGCACAAACGAUUAAUUACAAAUCCAAUGGAAAGAAAGGUAUCAGACUUCACUGCGAGGACGGCAAACACCAGAAAAAAAAAAACACUCGAGUUGUGAAAACUGAGGUUCUGCCGGGUUCUUCUAAUGGUACUAAGAACACUGAAUCUAUGCAAGACAGGGUGGAUAAACAACAUGCCAUAACCAGUGGCACAUACGUAAACACACAGCAUUGCCAAAAGUUAGAAGGAUGACCUAAAGAAAAAUCUUAAAGGACAGAUCUUAUCACUGUAUACCAAUGAGGCAACAAACAAUAACAAUUAUAAGAAUUUGAAUGUAAUCGCAUUGUAUAUUGUGAAAUAGUGUGGAAAUAAUAAAAUUACAAAUUAAUUUUUGAAAAA
rnacentral:lncRNA from 1 species